GAUGAAGAACGUAGCGAAAUGCGAUAAGUAAUGUGAAUUGCAGAAUUCAGUGAAUCAUCGAAUCUUUGAACGCACAUUGCGCCCGCCAGUAUUCUGGCGGGCAUGCCUGUUCGAGCGUCAUUUCAACCCUCAAGACCCCUUCGGGGGACUUGGUGUUGGGGACCGGCAUAGGGGCCUUGCGCCCCUCGCCACCCCCGAAAUGAAUUGGCGGCCUCGUCGCGGCCUCCCCUGCGUAGUAGCACAACCUCGCAACGGGAACGUGACGGCGGCCACUGCCGUAAAACAACCCAAUUUUAUUAGAGUUGACCUCGAAUCAGGUAGGAAUACCCGCUGAACUUAAGCAUAUCAAUAAGCGGAGGA
rnacentral:misc_RNA from 1 species